rnacentral:rRNA from 1 species
GACGAACGCUGGCGGCGUGCCUAAUACAUGCAAGUCGAACGGUCUUUUCUAUGGAAGCUUGCUUCCACUGAGAAGAUAGUGGCGAACGGGUGAGUAACACGUGGGUAACCUGCCCAUAAGAGGGGGAUAACAUCCGGAAAUGGGUGCUAAUACCGCAUAGUUUUCUUGAUCGCAUGAUCAAGAAAGGAAAGACGGCCUUUGUGCUGUCACUUAUGGAUGGACCCGCGGCGUAUUCGUUAGUUGGUGAGGUAACGGCUCACCAAGACGAUGAUGCGUAGCCGACCUGAGAGGGUGAUCGGCCACAUUGGGACUGAGACACGGCCCAAACUCCUACGGGAGGCAGCAGUAGGGAAUCUUCCGCAAUGGACGAAAGUCUGACGGAGCAACGCCGCGUGAGUGAAGAAGGUUUUCGGAUCGUAAAACUCUGUUGUCAGAGAAGAACAAGUCGGAGAGUAACUGCUCCGGCCUUGACGGUAUCUGACCAGAAAGCCACGGCUAACUACGUGCCAGCAGCCGCCGUAAAAC